rnacentral:rRNA from 1 species
GUCUGGUCAACAAUGUCAUGUCCGAUCACCGAAGCUAAACUACGUCGGGCUGGGUUAGUACUUGCUUGGGUGACCGUCUGGGAAUACCUGGUGUUGCUGACU